rnacentral:rRNA from 1 species
CCUACGGGUGGCAGCAGUCGAGAAUCUUUCUCAAUGGGCGAAACCCUGAUCGUGCGACGCCGCGUGGGGGACUGAAGGUCUUCGGAUUGUAAACCCCUGUCAUGUGGGAGCAAAUUAAUAAGAUAGUACCACACGAGGAAGAGACGGCCAACACUGUGCCAGCAGCCGCGGUAAUACAGAGAUCUCAAGCGUUGUUCGGAAUCACUGGGCGUAAAGCGUGCGUAGGCUGUUUCGUAAGUCGUGUGUGAAAGGCGCGGGCGCAAGCCGCGGACGGCCCAUGAUACUGCGAGACUAGAGUAAUGGAGGGGGAAGCGGAAUGCGCGGGGUAGCAGUGAAAUGCAUAGAUA